CCUACGGGAGGCAGCAGUAAGGAAUAUUGGUCAAUGGGCGCAAGCCUGAACCAGCCAUGCCGCGUGCAGGAAGACGGCCCUACGGGUUGUAAACUGCUUUUAUUCGGGAAUAAACCUCUUUACGUGUAAGGAGCUGAAUGUACCGAAGGAAUAAGGAUCGGCUAACUCCGUGCCAGCAGCCGCGGUAAUACGGAGGAUCCAAGCGUUAUCCGGAUUUAUUGGGUUUAAAGGGUGCGUAGGCGGCCUGUUAAGUCAGGGGUGAAAGACGGUGGCUCAACCAUCGCAGUGCCCUUGAUACUGAUGGGCUUGAUUUCAGUUGAGGUAGGCGGAAUGUGACAAGUAGCGGUGAAAUGCAUAGAUAUGUCACAGAACACCGAUUGCGAAGGCAGCUUACUAAAGUGAUAAUGACGCUGAGGCACGAAAGCGUGGGGAUCAAACAG
rnacentral:rRNA from 1 species